UAUUGCACAAUGGGGGAAACCCUGAUGCAGCGACGCCGCGCGAGUGAAGAAGUAUUUCGGUAUGUAAAGCUCUAUCAGCAGGGAAGAAGAAAUGACGGUACCUUAGUAAGAAGCCCCGGACAACUACGAGACAGCAGCCGCGGUAAUACGUAGGGGGCAAGCGUUAUCCGGAAUUACUGGGUGUAAAGGGAGCGUAGACGGUGAUGUAAGCCUGGAGUGAAAGGCGGGGGCCCAACCCCCGGACUGCUCUGGAAACUAUGUGACUGGAGUGCAGGAGAGGUGAGCGGAAUUCCUAGUGUAGCGGUGAAAUGCGUAGAUAUUAGGAGGAACACCAGUGGCGAAGGCGGCUCACUGGACUGUAACUGACGUUGAGGCUCGAAAGCGUGGGGAGCAAACAGG
rnacentral:rRNA from 1 species